GGGGGUACUGGACUGUAACUGAGCUUCUGCCCGGUUUAAUAUUUCUCUUUUGAGUUGCAGCAGUGCGAGUUAAAGUUGUGUGGGUGUUUGAGUGUUGUUGUUUUUUGUGUUGUGUCACAAUGUUUGCUUAUUAAAAUGAAAAAGAAAACACUGACACUGUAUUUUAACUGGUUCAGUUCCUUAUGAAUUCUGAUUAUUAAAACUAAACAAAUAAGACAUAUAAAUGACGAUGCAUUAUUAAAAGUACACCACUCAGCAGCAAGUGAUUAAAAUCAGCAUUCAACAAAUGUAGGAAUGAAUGCAUCAAUAAUUAUAAUCCAGUGAUAUAAUCACUAUUAUUCUGCAUGAAAAGUGCUUUUUAUUUUAGUUCUGUGAAGCUGCUACUUUGACACAUGAUUAAAAACAUGUUCUAUAAUCAAAACAAAAGCAAUGAAAACUCUCCAAAAGGUCUGUUUAGUGGCGGCUCUGGUGCUUUUGCUUAUGAAUAAUUAAACUGUAUUUAUUCAUAACGCAGCUUUAAAGAAUUCAAAUGAUCGUCAUAUAUUUUACAAGAAUCGAUGCAGUGUUUCACAUGUUUACGUUUUUUUUGUUCUUUUUAUUCUGUUUACUUGGUUUUAAGGUCAAGAACCAACUCGUGAACCACAUUUAAUUAAACUGAGUUUAUCAACAUGCUGUUUAUUACUUUUUGUCACUUAUCACUGUUAAUAACAUUUUGAACAGAUCUCAAGGCAGAAUCCUGCACUUUUUAUUGUAAAUACAUUGUUCAUAUAUUUCUGUGAGCUCUUUUUAAGUUGCUUGUUUUUCCCUCCACGUUAAAUCCCGUCCGAGUUCAUUUUCCAGCUGCAGUUUCCAUCCGGGGGGAAAUAUCGGCGUCCUCACCUGCUGAUGUCUUCAUGCGGGUGAUGUUACAGUCUCACAGCGACAGGAGCAGCAGAAGAAGAAAUAUGUUUACUGCACUUUAGCGGAGGUAGAAGAAGUUGAUCGAUUCUCGGGUGAGAAGUUAUCUCAGGAAAGAACCAACGAGAUUACCUUCAGAACACCUGCAAGGUGUGGAAGUAAACUGGAAAACCGUAGCUGAUCUGGGAUCAGUCCAUCAACCGGUUUCCUUCUGCUUCGGUUUCACAGCCGAAUACAGAGAACAAAAAGUCAAAAUAAGUUCAUUGAACUCAUAAUCACCAUAAAUGUGAUCUCCUCUGAAGCAGGAGACAACACCUGGUGAACCGCGGCGCCGGGGGAGAGCGCCGGGCUCUCCGGCAACGCCUGUGUGUCCUGGGGGAGGCCGAACAAGAGUCGACAAGGACACCCAACACUCAAGUGUCUUGUGGACGACUGGGUGUCAGUCUGAUAGUUGUGAACAUCUGGGAAUCUGCUGACGUCUAUAUGGAGACACCUGCUUAUCAAUUGGACACCUGGACUGGCUGGACAUCCCUCCACCUUUGGUAAUCCGGGGGAACGUAACGAGUCUUCCUUUCUCUCCCAGUCUUCAUCAUCAAGCACCAAGCAAGUUUUUAUUAUUGUUUACACUGCUUUCAUGUGGCUUAUUCACCAGCGUUAAUUUACAUACUCUACUUCGGCAGAAUGAUUAAACCUGUGAUGACGAUUAAUCAGUGUAUUGUUUUUAUAUAGCGGAGAAUGUGAUAACAGCGUGUGGAAAUAAAGCGGAUGAUUUCAGUGCGCGAGGCUCUCUGCGUGCAUGUUUGUGUCCUCACAGUCCAAAGCCUUUGCUUCCCUUCCAGGAGUUUGCAUCGUUACAAUCUUCCUCCUCGGCGGCGGCGAGCACUCCCACCGGGGCUUCUGGGUAGCCAUCGGCGAGGGGGGGUCAACGAGGCAAACGGAGCGGUGGUGGAGCAGUCCGGUUCGGUCGGGUCUGACCCGGAUCAAAGAGAGGGAAGCUGUUCCCUGAUGGUUCACCUGCUUUAACCGGUGUUGGUGUGAUCUGAACCAAAGAGAAGAAAAGGAGCCGCUUUAUUAUUCAGAAGCUAAAUUAAUGCGCUGUGAGAGCGGAGCUGCAGCGCUGCGAGCUGAGGGUCAAAUACAUGCAAAUAUUAGCAUGUUGGGAUGCUCUUUAAACACUCCACCGUGCACGUGUGUGUGUGUGUUACGUAACGGGUGUGUUUGGAUUUAAUUAGCUCCCUACUUACAGUCUGAUAUUGGCUAAUGAAGCAGCAGAGUGUCCGUCGGUGAUGAAUGGGAGGCGUCAUCUUAAAACAUGAUAAAUCGGACUCGGCCCCUCUGGACAUCAAAAAACACGAAGCCGCCGGAGUGUGGGAUCAUGGGUAAAUGAGACCUGCAUGUUCCCCUCAGCGGGAAGGCGGGGUGAGGGA